rnacentral:rRNA from 1 species
ACGUAGGGGGCAAGCGUUGUCCGGAUUUACUGGGUGUAAAGGGCGCGUAGGCUGAUUUGUAAGUCAGUGGUGAAAUACUGCAGCUUAACUGCAGAACUGCCAUUGAUACUGCAAAUCUUGAGUUCAGAAGAGAGAAGCGGAAUUCCAGGUGUAGUGGUGAAAUACGUAGAUAUCUGGAAGAACACCAGUGGCGAAGGCGGCUUCUUGGUCUGUAACUGACGCUGAGGCGCGAAAGCGUGGGGAUCAAACAGGAUUAGAUACCCUGGUAGUCCACGCUGUAAACGAUGAAUACUAGGUGUUGGAUACAUUAGUAUCCAGUGCCGCAGCUAACGCAUUAAGUAUUCCACCUGGGGAGUACGAUCGCAAGGUUG